rnacentral:rRNA from 1 species
GAUGAACGCUAGCGGCAGGCUUAAUACAUGCAAGUCGAGGGGCAGCAUGGCUGUAGCAAUACAGUUGAUGGCGACCGGCAAACGGGUGCGGAACACGUACACAACCUUCCGUCGAGCGGGGAAUAGCACAGAGACAUUUGGAUUAAUACGCCAUAGCAUGGUGAAGAGGCAUCUCUUUACUCUGAAAGAUUUAUCACUUGAAGAUGGGUGUGCGGCUGAUUAGGUAGUUGGCGGGGUAACGGCCCACCAAGCCUACGAUCAGUAACUGGUGUGAGAGCACGACCAGUCACACGGGCACUGAGACACGGGCCCGACUCCUACGGGAGGCAGCAGUAAGGAAUAUUGGUCAAUGGACGAAAGUCUGAACCAGCCAUGCCGCGUGGAGGAUGAAGGUCCUCUGGAUUGUAAACUUCUUUUAUAUGGGACGAAAAUGGGGCUUUCUAGCUCAACUGACGGUACCAUAUGAAUAAGCACCGGCUAACUCCGUGCCAGCAGCCGCCGUAAAAC